GAUGAACGCUGGCUGCGUGCCUAAUACAUGCAAGUCGAGCGAACAGAUGAGGAGCUUGCUCCUCUGACGUUAGCGGCGGACGGGUGAGUAACACGUGGAUAACCUACCUAUAAGACUGGGAUAACUUCGGGAAACCGGAGCUAAUACCGGAUAAUAUAUUGAACCGCAUGGUUCAAUAGUGAAAGACGGUUUUGCUGUCACUUAUAGAUGGAUCCGCGCCGCAUUAGCUAGUUGGUAAGGUAACGGCUUACCAAGGCAACGAUGCGUAGCCGACCUGAGAGGGUGAUCGGCCACACUGGAACUGAGACACGGUCCAGACUCCUACGGGAGGCAGCAGUAGGGAAUCUUCCGCAAUGGGCGAAAGCCUGACGGAGCAACGCCGCGUGAGUGAUGAAGGUCUUCGGAUCGUAAAACUCUGUUAUUAGGGAAGAACAAAUGUGUAAGUAACUAUGCACGUCUUGACGGUACCUAAUCAGAAAGCCACGGCUAACUACGUG
rnacentral:rRNA from 1 species